UUCUCUCUCUACUCUGAUUUCCAUGUCUCCAGGUUGUCUAGAAGACUGAAGGGAGGGAGGGACGGGGACACAUAUGCCAGUCUGCAGCUCCCCAACAUCAGCCCUGAAUAUGACGUGCUGCAGGU